GACGAACGCUGGCGGCGUGCUUAACACAUGCAAGUCGAACGGAAAGGCCCUGCUUGCCGGGUACUCGAGUGGCGAACGGGUGAGUAACACGUGGGUGAUCUGCCCUGCACUUCGGGAUAAGCCUGGGAAACUGGGUCUAAUACCGGAUAGGAGCCAUUUUUAGUGUGAUGGUUGGAAAGUUUUUUCGGUGUAGGAUGAGCUCGCGGCCUAUCAGCUUGUUGGUGGGGUAAUGGCCUACCAAGGCGGCGACGGGUAGCCGGCCUGAGAGGGUGGACGGCCACAUUGGGACUGAGAUACGGCCCAGACUGCGACGGGAGGCAGCAGUGGGGAAUAUUGCACAAGGGGCGCAAGCCUGAUGCAGCGACGCCGCGUGGGGGAUGACGGCCCUCGGGUUGUAAACUCCUUUCGCUAGGGACGAAGCUUUUUGUGACGGUACCUAGAUAAGAAGCACCGGCUAACUACGUG
rnacentral:rRNA from 1 species